CUUUCGCCGAUCUCGCUGUACACGAAGUCCACGUUUCCGGGUCUGCUUCUGAACCGUAGAUCAUCUUUCCGUUAACUAGGCUUUAGACGUGUAGGAAGCCAUUUCUUGAGUACGGCUUCUCGAGGGUAACAGACUGCUGUUCACGCUGAAGUCGCCUGAUUCACACUUUGAACAGAUACACGUGGAGUGGAAAGACAGAUUACUUAUUGCCUAGCGAUGGAAGUUUUACCAGGUGAAGAUUUUGCGGUAGGGGAACCCAUUCGGGGUAACCGAACGUGACGCACUGUGUGGCUAAAUUAUAUCAAUAGGACUACUUUUUCCCCCAUCUAGCGUUCCUGAACUGUGGAACUAUGUAUCUUAUCGAACUAGAGUCAGCAAAAAUUCGUCUAGCCUAUUCAACCCUUCAUGGAAGGCGAGUAAUAGUCUUGGCUGCUGGUUCAAUUCAACUCCACACUGUAUCAAGCACAUUUAUCAACACAAAACCGGUGUAAAACUUGAUUUUAUCAUUUGGCAGUAUGUUGAGCGAUUCCUUGCAACUCAGACUUUACUGAUGCAACUUGCCAAGGUCUUACUCGAGAACUCUGAUCUUGUUUUCAAGUUCCACUAUUUCAUUUGCUUGCUGUUUAAUUAUCUGACGUAAACCAUCAGCUUCAGCCUCAGUGACAUUUUCGACAACCAACAUCUUCUCUAGGAUCACUAGCUAGACUAUGUAUACACGUCUUGAUCAACUGCACCUACAAUUGAGGUAGAACAGCCUCUGCUUUCUGAUUUAGACAUUACAGCUAUGAAAUAGCUAGUGCGUGUCUGUUGUGUUACUUUAGACAUAACUGUUGCUGGGACUGGCAGCUAGUGCUAAUAAACAGACUGUAGUGUACGU